GGGAAACUUUUUUUAAAAUGCAGAUACUGUUUUGAGCUGGUUUAAAAAAUGCAGAUUUAUUGAGUGCCGCUUCCUGUCGGGCAAGCAGUGCACGGUCACAUCUGCCAGUGCCCGUGCUGUGCCUUAGCUUCACUGGUGCCAGGACUCGGAGCCCGCGGCGUGCCAGCCGCAGCUGCCCUAUGGAGCCGAAGACCAGCUAGGUAGGGCCUGGCGGGCCUCGUCACUUUGUGAUGGGUCAGGAGUGGUCCAUCUUCCUCCACCCCGGAUAAUCUCAGGAGCAAUGCUGCAGGUGCUGGCGUAGGCAUGGGAGGGGUUUGGGGACAGCCCGCCCCACAGGGUUGGCAGUGGCCGCUCCCUCCUCUCUGGGAUGUCAUCUGCAGGUGCCACAUGUGCAGAGUUCCCAGGGCCCGGCUGGGGAGGGGCAGCCCCACACCUGUUCCCAGAAGAGGGCUGCGAGCCUGUUGGUAGAACUUAGAACCCCACCUUCACCCUGCCAGCUGGCUACAGCCCAAGGUAACACAGUCAAGGCAGCGCUGAUUAGUGAGCCUGCCCCAGCUGGGCCACCGGCAGGGCCAUCAGCCUUUGUCCCCAAGUUGGACUGUUUUCCUCUCCAUGGAUUUGGACUCUGUACCCUACUGGAACCACUCUGUAAAGAGACAAAGCUGUAUGUGCCACUUCAGUACCUCUGCCACCAGGAACGCCCACUGCCAGUCUCGGGCCGCAGCCACAUGGGAGCUCCGGGUGGAUGCAGUAAAGGGGCCGCCAGGCUGACCUUGCCAGGCCAUAGCUGGCACUGGGGCUGUAAAGCUGUAGAACUCUUAAUAAAUUGAGAAUUAUUAAUU
rnacentral:lncRNA from 1 species